rnacentral:rRNA from 1 species
CGUGAGUGAAGAAGGCCUUCGGGUUGUAAAGCUCUUUCGCAAGGGAAGAAAACUUAGGCUCUAACAUAGCCUGAGGUUGACGGUACCUUGAUAAGAAGCACCGGCUAACUACGUGCCAGCAGCCGCGGUAAUACGUAGGGUGCGAGCGUUAAUCGGAAUUACUGGGCGUAAAGCGUGCGCAGGCUGUUUUGUAAGUCAGAUGUGAAAUCCCUGAGCUCAACUUAGGAACUGCGUUUGAAACUACAAGACUAGAAUAUGUCAGAGGGGGGUAGAAUUCCACGUGUAGCAGUGAAAUGCGUAGAGAUGUGGAGGAAUACCAAUGGCGAAGGCAGCCCCCUGGGAUAAUAUUGACGCUCAUGCACGAAAGCGUGGGGAGCAAACAGGAUUAGAUACCCUGGUAGUCCACGCCCUAAACGAUGUCUACUAGUUGUUGGUGGAGUAAAAUCCAUGAGUAACGCAGCUAACGCGUGAAGUAGACCGCCUGGGGAGUACGGUCGCAAGAUUA